rnacentral:lncRNA from 1 species
AAAGGUAUUAUUCCAUCUUUUGCACCAUCUCAAAAUCUUCAUAAGAUAAGAUGUAAAAAAAAUUGAAUAUCCAUAGGAAAUCUUACAAAGUUAUUAUUUCAAUGAAUCUUCUUGACACUCAUUAUCUUUUUCUUCCUGAAUUUUCUAACAAUAACAUAAAAAACAGAUUCAAAAUGAUAUCAUAAUCAAACCAACAAUAAACGUAACCAUCAUACCACAUUCGUAACCAUCAAACCGCUGCCAUCAAAUCACAUCACAACCACAACAUUUCCAGCCACCACAUCAUAUCCACCGUAUCGCAUCCACCACAUUUCAUCACAUUCACCGAAACGGAACUCUACCAUUGAACUUCAAUUCUGUGGACAGCGAUUCAUGGAUUUCAUCUCCGUGGACAGAGAGUUUCUUGGACGUUUCUUUCUUAAAUUUAGUGGCCAGUUGGAAAACAAUGAUAAUGAGAAUCUCCGGAAACUAAAGAUGCAAAAAAAUUAUUUGACCAAGAAAUAGCAAAAUUUUAAAAGAUGUUAAAAUGAUACGUCGGAGGUUAAGGUACACAACCAUUUGAUAAGAAGAUUGGGUCGAACACACAAUUCCAGAAAACAUGAAAACUGAAUCUUGCUGGAGAAAUCCAAAAAAAAAACGAACGAGCACAAAAACGAAUAUUCAAAAAAAGGAACACUUAAUCAAUUCAAUGUUUAGCAACAUACAUAAAAAACGGAUUGACUCACCUUAGAUGAGAAGAGCUUCUAGGUCCCAUUUCCUGUAAAUUGUAAAAAACCGUAAAGAUAAAAAAACAAUGAAUUAUGAGUAAAACUUCACAAUUUUUAACAAAAAUAGCAAAUAUAAUUCACAUGAAUCAGUGCAAAAAACCUCAAUUUCACGUUGAGUAUAAACACCCACAGAGACAAAAAGAAAAAAAAAAGAAAAAAAAA